rnacentral:lncRNA from 1 species
CUGGCUCAUCACCGCUCAUUUGUGGGGCCCAUGGUUGAGCGUGCGCUCUCACCUAAUGUGUGACUUUCAAGCAUCAUGAAGCAUUUCUCUGUGUGACGUUCUCGUCAGUGUGGUUUAUGCAUAACGUGUCUUGGCAUCCAUUUUUAGAAGUGAUCUAAUCCCAAGUGUGCUGAUUCUGCCCUCAAAUGAGGUUUUAAAGCUGAAGAAGGCAGCAAGGAACACUGUCUACUGAAGCAUCAAGCAGCUGGCGCCCGCAGUGUCGUCUGUUCAGCCUGAAGUUGAAACUUACACCAGCACUUCCACUGGUGCUUAAAGGUCUGAGGCGAGGCAUCUAAACGCACUGCGUGCUAGCAACUCUGCCGCUUUCUGUUAGGAAGCUGCCCUUGAAGCCAAUAUUUAUGUGGCAACUUGAGGCCUCGUUGUGUAACCAACCUGAGACACAAAUACACAACUGUGUAACAAGCGAAAAAGACAGCUGACAGAUCAGCCACCUUCAGGCGCUCCCUUCAGGUUCCACCUUCAGGUUCCACCUUCAGGCGCUCCUUCAGGCGCUCCUUCAGGCACUCCCUUCAGGUUCCACCUUCAGGUUCCACCUUCAGGUGCUCCUUCAGGUGCUCCUUCAGGCGCCACCUUCAGGCGCCUCCUUCAGGUGCUCCUUCAGGUGCUCCUUCAGGUGCCACCUUUAGUCCUUAGACUUUCUGAUCUGCCACUGACACGAGCUAAAAAAAAAUUUUCAAAAAUCUUUUUGACAGACACUGACCCAAAACAGACAGAUUUUGCCAACUCCACACCUAAAGAUAAAAAAACGCAGGAACUAUUUAAAUCGAUCCCUCAUCGGAUACGAGCAGAAGGACCCAGGUUGUUGUUAUCAACGUGCAUUUGGAAAUUGCCAUGAUGACAAGUUUGGAUUCCUGCAGUACAGAUUAGAAGCACACAAGUGUGAAAAACAAUAAUUAUGUGUGUGUGUGUGUGUGUGUGUGUGUGUGUGUGUGUGUGUGUGUGUGUGUGGCAAUAAAAACACGAGUGUUUUUAUUUUAAGUGUCA